rnacentral:lncRNA from 1 species
UAGGAUAAUAGCAAGAAAGUGGAAGCUGAUUAUAGCUGCUGGUUGCAGUGUGGGAGUGUUUAAUGGAAUAGCCUUAUUCAUCUUUGACCAAGGUCAUGUUGAUACCAUGAAAUUAAUGGAAGGAGAACUGGGAGAUAACUGCACCUGAACUGCAGUUUGUAAUUUGAGGUUCUACAGUACAAGAGAAAUCCUUGCUCCUUCUGCCUCAGAAAGGAAUGAAGCACGUUCAGGUACAUACGUAGUCACUGAUUGCUUGUACGAUUUACAUAACAUUUUUUAGGUAGAGGUUAUAUCUUUUUUCUGCUUGAUCAGCUGAUAAAAUUAGAAAACUAUACUAGUGUUUU